CUGAGAACCGGGUCACAUGCCAUCGUCGUGCAGCCACCGGCAUCACUUUUAUCCUUCAUUUGGUCAGUGUCGUUUUCAUGUACUCUCUGUGCUGCUGCGGUAAAUGAGUGAUGUGACAUACCUUCCCCCACACGAGUGAUGCAAAAAAUUGCAAAAGAAAACUGACAUGAUGGCGACGGACGAUGAUGAUGACGAUGAGUAGAACCAGGGUCGGGCUGUGAUGGUGGCGCCCGGACUGGCAGUCGGACAGGUACAGCCAGAAGACGUCAAUCAAAUUAAUAAUGAGGAAAUUAAAGGCCUUACAUCAAACGCACAGCAGGCCAAUCAUAAAGUGACCGAGUUCAAAU